ensembl:lncRNA
CAGGGGCGGAUCUAGCAAAGCUUUUGCCAGGGGCCAGGUAGGGCAUUAACAGAGAAAGGUGGACAUAAAGAUAUACUUUUCUUUCUUACUCUCAUAUAAAAUAUUUAGCUUUUAUUAAAUGCUUAUCCGAAUCUUACAACCAAAGUUUGUAUAAUAAUACACAAGAUUGGCUGUAGACCAUUGUUCAUAAUUCAGAACACUGUGUAAAAAUAACAAAAAACAAAAA